rnacentral:rRNA from 1 species
AACGAACGCUGGCGGCAUGCCUAACACAUGCAAGUCGAACGCCCUUUUCGGAGGGAGUGGCGCACGGGUGCGUAACGCGUGGGAACCUGCCCUUAGGUUCGGAAUAACUUCCCGAAAGGGAUGCUAAUACCGGAUAAUGUCUUCGGACCAAAGAUUUAUCGCCUUUGGAUGGGCCCGCGUAGGAUUAGGUAGUUGGUGAGGUAAAGGCUCACCAAGCCGACGAUCCUUAGCUGGUCUGAGAGGAUGAUCAGCCACACUGGGACUGAGACACGGCCCAGACUCCUACGGGAGGCAGCAGUGGGGAAUAUUGGACAAUGGGCGAAAGCCUGAUCCAGCAAUGCCGCGUGAGUGAUGAAGGCCUUAGGGUUGUAAAGCUCUUUUACCAGGGAUGAUAAUGACAGUACCUGGAGAAUAAGCUCCGGCUAACUCCGUGCCAGCCGCCGCAGUAA